AGAUGUUAAAAGCAAGAGACAUGGGAGAGCAUCAUUCCUUUGAGAUUUUAUAACUCAAACCAACUUUGGAGUUGUCUGAUUUGGAGAGUCAUUAUUCUUGGUCUUCGCUCUUAGAGGCCACUGAUGAAGAGCAGGCGGUGACUGGGAUGAAUCCUGGUCAGAGAGGAGAAUCUUCUUUCCCCUAAACAGCGGUGGUUUUAAAGGAGGACGCUGCCCUGGAUGAUGUAGAAGAUGUCACAUGCUGUGCAGAUGGGGUUUCUUCAUGACUACAUCAGUUAUGCUAAAGAGAUCAUGAAAAUUGACCGUGAUGCAUGAUCUGUAUUCAUGGACUAUGAAACAAACUGUAAGUGUAUAAUUUGUUAAGAAAAAAAAGUUAAAUGCUUUUUCUGUGUUGUUUAGUAGAAGAGUUUACACUCUGUCAUUCAUACACCUGCUCACAUUCUUUCACACACACACACACACACACACAUGCGUCUGUUAAAGGUUAUAAUAUCAAAGUUAAUGUUGUGAUUUAUUUGUGUACUGUCAUGCCAGAAUAGUUGGAAAAAAACCUAACUAAUUGUAAAUUUAUUGUAUGUGUUUUCGUAUAUUUUUAUACAAUAUAUACAAUUGAACAAAGUCCAAUUUGAUCUUAAGUUAUAUUCAUCAAAUGUUCAAUGCUUUAUUUAUGAACUCUGUAGCUGUUAAUGCCAUCCUUUUCUGCAUUUCUUCUAACAUGUUACUUUUUGACUUUUCUCUUGUUUUUAAUAAAUAUUUUCCUUUUGGUAAU